rnacentral:ncRNA from 1 species
CUAUGGUCUUAUAGAACAAUGGCCAAACUGUAGUUAACCUAUGGUUAUAAAUCAUCAAAUUGCGGGAAACUCCUAAAGGAAUCUUAACCAAGUAAGUAUGGUAACAUAACUUAUGGCACAGGUAAUGACUCGUGGUAAGGUAAAAUCAAGAUUUAUUAUUCAAUGGGCAAUCCGCAGCCAAGUACCAAGUAUAAAAUAUUUGGUAUGCAGUUCAUCGACUAAACGGUGGUUGGUAUUAUUAAUGUUAAUAAUGCUUAAGAUAUAGUCAGACCCCACCUGAAAAGGUGCA